AAGAGCUUGCUCUUAUGAAGUUAGGGCGGACGGGUGAGUAACACGUGGGUAACCUGCCCAUAAGACUGGGAUAACUCCGGGAAACCGGGGCUAAUACCGGAUAACAUUUUGAACCGCAGGGUUCGAAAUUGAAAGGCGGCUUCGGCUGUCACUUAUGGAUGGACCCGCGUCGCAUUAGCUAGUUGGUGAGGUAACGGCUCACCAAGGCAACGAUGCGUAGCCAACCUGAGAGGGUGAUCGGCCACACUGGGACUGAGACACGGCCCAGACUCCUACGGGAGGCAGCAGUAGGGAAUCUUCCGCAAUGGACGAAAGUCUGACGGAGCAACGCCGCGUGAGUGAUGAAGGCUUUCGGGUCGUAAAACUCUGUUGUUAGGGAAGAACAAGUGCUAGUUGAAUAAGCUGGCACCUUGACGGUACCUAACCAGAAAGCCACGGCUAACUACGUGCCAGCAGCCGCGGUAAUACGUAGGUGGCAAGCGUUAUCCGGAAUUAUUGGGCGUAAAGCGCGCGCAGGUGGUUUCUUAAGUCUGAUGUGAAAGCCCACGGCUCAACCGUGGAGGGUCAUUGGAAACUGGGAGACUUGAGUGCAGAAGAGGAAAGUGGAAUUCCAUGUGUAGCGGUGAAAUGCGUAGAGAUAUGGAGGAACACCAGUGGCGAAGGCGACUUUCUGGUCUGUAACUGACACUGAGGCGCGAAAGCGUGGGGAGCAAACAGGAUU
rnacentral:rRNA from 1 species